GACGAACGCUGGCGGCGUGCUUAACACAUGCAAGUCGAACGGUAAGGCCGUGCUUGCGUGGGGUGCUCGAGUGGCACAGGGGUGAGUAACACGUGUGUAACGCGCUUUAGACUUUGGUAUAAGUUGAAGACGCUGGGGAUAAUCCCGGACAGGCGGUGCCCCUACAUGGAUCGGGUUGGAAGUUUUCGUCGGUUGGGGUUGGACCCGCGGCUUACCAGCUAGUUGGUGGGGUAGUGGCUUACCAAGGGACUGCCGGGUAGCCGGCCUGAGAGGGUGACCGGCCACAUUGGGACUGAGAGACGGCCCAGACUCCUACGGGAGGCAGCAGUGGGGAAUAUUGCACAAUGGGCGCAAGCCUGAUGCAGCAACGCCGCGUGCGGGAUGACGGCCUUCGGGUUGUAAACCGCUUUCGGUUGUGAAGAAGCGUGAGUGACGGUACCUGGAGAAGAAGCACCGGCUAACUACGUG
rnacentral:rRNA from 1 species